GAUUCGAUUUCCGAUUGGGAUGAAAAUUUCAGGAACGCAAUUUUCGGCUCUCCCUUGACACCAUCUGCGAGUAUGGUCUUGAGGAAACGAUGAUAGUCCGCCGGAAAGGGACGAUAAAUGGCUGACCCGUGUUAAGAGAGAGCCAUAUCUCUUGCACGUUAAAGACACCCUUGUAGAUUUCGAAAAAGAGUAGGCUAAUGCCGCUACAAGGCAGCACUCGCACCCGCAAAGUGGAAAGGGAUUAAUAUAAGUUGCAAAACUUGUUUCCCAAUCCACUAUGAAUAAAUAUGUUUAAACUAA
rnacentral:lncRNA from 1 species